rnacentral:rRNA from 1 species
UACGUAGGGUGCGAGCGUUGUCCGGAAUUAUUGGGCGUAAAGAGCUCGUAGGCGGUGUGUCACGAUCGGCCGUGAAAACCCUGCAGCUUAACUGUGGGCGUGCGGUCGAUACGGGCAUCACUGGAGUUCGGCAGGGGAGACUGGAAUUCCUGGUGUAGCGGUGAAAUGCGCAGAUAUCAGGAGGAAUACCGAUGGCGAAGGCAGGUCUCUGGGCUAGAACUGACGCUCAUGCACGAAAGCGUGGGGAGCAAACAGG